GUUGUCGUGUAUGCUAAAUCUGUCUGCUAAUGACAAAGUAAGAAUAUAUCCGUUGGCAGACUCAAUGAACUGGAAUAAGUGAAAGACAAUUUGUGAGCGUCAGCCCAUGUGAAGCCACUGAAAAACAU